GAUGAAGAACGUAGCGAAAUGCGAUACUUGGUGUGAAUUGCAGAAUCCCGUGAACCAUCGAGUCUUUGAACGCAAGUUGCGCCCGAAGCCAUUAGGCCGAGGGCACGCCUGCCUGGGCGUCACACGUCGUUGCCCCCCCCAUCUACUCCUUCGGGAUUGCGGGGGGCGGAUGAUGGCCUCCCGUGCGCCUCGCCGCGCGGUUGGCAUAAAUGCCAAGUCCUCGGCGACGCACGCCACGACAAUCGGUGGUUGCGAAACCUCGGUUGCCCGUCGUGUGCGGUCGUCGCGCAUCGAGGGCUCGAAAAAAUUGCCGAGUUCCGGCUCGGCUUUCAACGCGACCCCAGGUCAGGCGGGGUUACCCGCUGAAUUUAAGCAUAUCAAUAAGCGGAGA
rnacentral:misc_RNA from 1 species